rnacentral:pre_miRNA from 1 species
UCCCACCUAUAGCUUUUUGUGUGGUUUCUUACGGGAAUCACAGAGAGUUGGUUGGACUUAGGAGGUCUUGUUUCAGGCCGAUUGGGA